rnacentral:rRNA from 1 species
UACGAAGGGGGCUAGCGUUGCUCGGAAUCACUGGGCGUAAAGGGUGCGUAGGCGGGUCUUUAAGUCAGGGGUGAAAUCCUGGAGCUCAACUCCAGAACUGCCUUUGAUACUGAAGAUCUUGAGUAUGGGAGAGGUGAGUGGAACUGCGAGUGUAGAGGUGAAAUUCGUAGAUAUUCGCAAGAACACCAGUGGCGAAGGCGGCUCACUGGCCCGAUACUGACGCUGAGGUGCGAAAGCGUGGGGAGCAAACAGG